rnacentral:rRNA from 1 species
AUCUGGGCGGCGGAAUUCAGGAUGGCCGGCGUGCUUUCGCAGUGUGUCGGUCGUUUGAUAUUUCCGUCGCCGAUUACCGCAGACGUCGCGACCUGUUCGCGGUCGGUCCCUGCUCGGAGGAGCCGUGUUCGAGUUCGUUGUGUACGUGUUUCGGCGCGUCACACGGCGAAGACGCGGAUCUCUGGCUGGCCGUCGGACAGUAUGCUUAACGGUGUCCGGUGUCGUCGUCUCGUACGCGCGGCAUCGGUACCGGUCAGCGACGAAUUCUUCGGGCCUCUUUCCGACCCGUCUUGAAACACGGACCAAGGAGUCUAACAUGCGCGCGAGUCGCGGGGUGUCGAGCGUACUUCGGUGCGUUCGUUACGUUGCGAAACCCGUACAUGUUGAAGGCGUAAUGAAAGUGAAUGGGGAAGAUGGUGUUUUCCGAGUACACGUUCCGCGAUCGGUGGUAUCGCGGCCGGACACCCGCAUUCCCGGGGCGUCUCAACGGCCCGUCGCUGAUGCGGACAGUCGUCUCUCGGGGCGGCUGUCGGUCGGCGAUGAACCGA